rnacentral:rRNA from 1 species
GACGAACGCUGGCGGCGUGCUUAACACAUGCAAGUCGAACGGAAAGUCCCUGCUUUUUUGGGGUGCUCGAGUGGCGAACGGGUGAGUAACCCGUAAGUAACCUGCCCUUGACUUUAGGAGAACUUCAGGAAACUUAGGCUAAUACGGGAAAAGAGCUCCUGCUGCUUGGUGGGGGCUGGAAAGGUUCGGUGGUUGGGGAUGGAAUUGCGGCUUAUCAGCUUGUUGGUGGGGUAGGGGCUGACCACGGCUUUGACGGGUGGCCGUCCUGCGCGGGUGACAGGACACAGUGCAACUGGGAUGAGGCCCAGACUCAUACUGGAAGCAGCGGUGGCGAAUGUUGCAGUAGGGGCGGGCGCCUGAUACAGAAAAGCCGCGUGCGGGAUGGCGGUCUUCGGGUUGUAAUCGGAUUUCACCUGUGACGAAGCGUGAGUGACGGUAACGGGAAAAGAAGCACCGGCUAACUACGUG